rnacentral:rRNA from 1 species
UACAGAGGUGGCAAGCGUUUGUUCGGAAUUACUGGGCGUAAAGGGCGCGUAGGCGGUCUUGCAAGUCCUGUGUGAAAUCCCUCGGCUCAACUGAGGAACUGCACAGGAAACUGCUUGGCUUGAGUUCGGGAGAGGGAAGCGGAAUUCCGGGUGUAGCGGUGAAAUGCGUAGAUAUCCGGAGGAACACCGGUGGCGAAGGCGGCUUCCUGGACCGACACUAACGCUGAGGCGCGAAAGCUAGGGGAGCAAACGGG